GUGGGGAAUAUUGGACAAUGGGCGAAAGCCUGAUCCAGCCAUGCCGCGUGUGUGAAGAAGGUCUUCGGAUUGUAAAGCACUUUAAGUUGGGAGGAAGGGUAGUAACCUAAUACGUUGCUACUUUGACGUUACCGACAGAAUAAGCACCGGCUAACUUCGUGCCAGCAGCCGCGGUAAUACGAAGGGUGCAAGCGUUAAUCGGAAUUACUGGGCGUAAAGCGCGCGUAGGUGGUUCAGUAAGUUGGAAGUGAAAUCCCCGGGCUCAAACUGGGAACUGCCUCCAAAACUGCAUGACUAGAGUACGGUAGAGGGUAGUGGAAUUUCCUGUGUAGCGGUGAAAUGCGUAGAUAUAGGAAGGAACACCAGUGGCGAAGGCGACUACCUGGACUGAUACUGACACUGAGGUGCGAAAGCGUGGGGAGCAAACAGGAUUAGAUACCCGAGUAGUCC
rnacentral:rRNA from 1 species